GGAGUUUUUGGCAUUCCCACGGAUAGUUCUGGCACGUGAGGAAGGGCGUCAGAUGGUACAUGGCGGACACGUUCUUUUCCUGCACAGAAGGGCACACACACACACACACACACACACACACACACACACAGAAAAAGGCCUUCAAAGUACGGCCUUUCUUUCCGUACUUUCUUGCGCAAAAAAUACAUGAAAGAGGUCGUUAAAAAUAACAGAAAAGUGCUCACCCUUCUUCUUGUAUGCACUUUGUUAGGCACUUUUCUGUGUUAUAAAAGCAUGUACAGCAGGUGACCCUUUUCAACUGGACCGUAAUUCAGUGGUUCGCCAGACACACCCAGUUGUCAAUAUGCAGAUUUACCCCGUCUCCACACUACUAAACGUGGUACUGUGUCAUUGUAUUACCAGCUCAUUAUUACAACUCUGAACAACGGUCCGUUCUCUCAUGUGGGACACACUGGUUCGUCCAACGUCCACACUCUGGGUGACCAAUAAGGAGGGUAACCGUUGUGGUGUGGCUGGUGGAGUGUGCCGCUCCUCCACCAAGACCUGGCUCACUCUCCACCCUUUAACCAGGCCAGGCAAUCCCUCCCACAUGAUUCUCAUUUAGAUAUCGCUGAGAGCCAUGACUGGCAUAAUGGUUGGUCUGUGGUAUUGACUCCAUAUCCUGACCACUUAGUUAGCCUUGAAAUAAGGGAGUUGUAUGCAGAAAUUAUGGAGCGCUUGAACCAGUGAGUGUGAUGAUUUCUAGUGAGCAUCUCCGUGGGGCGGCAACGCUAUUGUUCAAUGGUGUCUGGCAUUUACAGCUUCUUGUUUACCACCAGUUAGGUGAGUGUAGGAAAUGAUUGAGGUGUUACUUACAGGGUUAAGGAUCAUGAAAAUAUUACAGCCUCUUGUUUACCAGCAGUUAGGUGAGUGUAGGAAAUGAUUGAGGUGUUACUUACAGGGUUAAGGAUCAUGAAAAUAUUACAGCCUCUUGUUUACCAGCAGUUAGGUGAGUGUAGGAAAUGAUUGAGGUGUUACAGGGUUAAGGAUCAUGAAAAUAUUACAGCCUCUUGUUUACCUGCAGUUAGGUGAGUGUAGGAAAUGAUUGAGGUGUUACUUACAGGGUUAAGGAUCAUGAAAAUAUUACAGCCUCUUGUUUACCUGCAGUUAGGUGAGUGUAGGAAAUGAUUGAGGUGUUACUUACAGGGUUAAGGAUCAUGAAAAUAUUACAGCCUCUUGUUUACCUGCAGUUAGGUGAGUGUAGGAAAUGAUUGAGGUGUUACAGGGUUAACCCGGUAACAGCGACGGGCCAAAUCUGUGGCUUUACUGUGUAGCAGCGACGGGCCAAGUUUGUAGCUUUAC